UGAGGAAUAUUGGUCAAUGGGCGAGAGCCUGAACCAGCCAAGUAGCGUGCAGGAUGACGGCCCUAUGGGUUGUAAACUGCUUUUAUGUGGGGAUAAAGUGCGUGACGUGUCUUGCAUUGCAGGUACCACAUGAAUAAGGACCGGCUAAUUCCGUGCCAGCAGCCGCGGUAAUACGGAAGGUCCGGGCGUUAUCCGGAUUUAUUGGGUUUAAAGGGAGCGUAGGCUGUCUAUUAAGCGUGUUGUGAAAUUUACCGGCUCAACCGGUGGCUUGCAGCGCGAACUGGUCGACUUGAGUAUGCAGGAAGUAGGCGGAAUUCAUGGUGUAGCGGUGAAAUGCUUAGAUAUCAUGACGAACUCCGAUUGCGCAGGCAGCUUACUGUAGCAUAACUGACGCUGAUGCUCGAAAGUGCGGGUAUCAAACAGG
rnacentral:rRNA from 1 species